rnacentral:rRNA from 1 species
UGAAGCCCACUUGUGGGUGGAUUAGUGGCGAACGGGUGAGUAACACGUGAGUAACCUGCCCUUGACUCUGGGAUAAGCCUGGGAAACUGGGUCUAAUACCGGAUAUGACUGAUCAUCGCAUGGUGGUUGGUGGAAAGCUUUUUGUGGUUUUGGAUGGACUCGCGGCCUAUCAGCUUGUUGGUGAGGUAAUGGCUUACCAAGGCGACGACGGGUAGCCGGCCUGAGAGGGUGACCGGCCACACUGGGACUGAGACACGGCCCAGACUCCUACGGGAGGCAGCAGUGGGGAAUAUUGCACAAUGGGCGCAAGCCUGAUGCAGCGACGCCGCGUGAGGGAUGACGGCCUUCGGGUUGUAAACCUCUUUCAGUAGGGAAGAAGCGAAAGUGACGGUACCUGCAGAAGAAGCGCCGGCUAACUACGUGCCAGCAGCCGCGGUAAUACGUAGGGCGCAAGCGUUAUCCGGAAUUAUUGGGCGUAAAGAGCUCGUAGGCGGUUUGUCGCGUCUGCCGUGAAAGUCCGGGGCUCAACUCCGGAUCUGCGGUGGGUACGGGCAGACUAGAGUGAUGUAGGGGAGACUGGAAUUCCUGGUGUAGCGGUGAAAUGCGCAGAUAUCAGGAGGAACACCGAUGG